GACGACGACUCCUACGGGAGGCAGCAUGGGGGAAUAGUUGCACAAUGGGGCGCAAGCCUGAUGCAGCCAUGCCGCGUGUGUGAAGAAGGCCUUCGGGUUGUAAAGCACUUUCAGUCGUGAGGAAGGUGGUAGUGUUAAUAGCACUAUCAUUUGACGUUAGCGACAGAAGAAGCACCGGCUAACUCCGUGCCAGCAGCCGCGGUAAUACGGAGGGUGCGAGCGUUAAUCGGAAUUACUGGGCGUAAAGCGCAUGCAGGUGGUUUGUUAAGUCAGAUGUGAAAGCCCCGGGGCUCAACCUCGGAAUAGCAUUUGAAACUGGCAGACUAGAGUACUGUAGAGGGGGUAGAAUUUCAGGUGUAGCGGUGAAAUGCGUAGAGAUCUGAAGGAAUACCGGUGGCGAAGGCGGCCCCCCUGGACAGAUACUGACACUCAGAUGCGAAAGCGUGGGGAGCAAACAGGAUUAGAUACCCUGGUAG
rnacentral:rRNA from 1 species